rnacentral:lncRNA from 1 species
GAAGAAACCGCCACCCAAAAAGAAACCUCCAAUGGAAGAAACCGCCACCCUUGAUGAGGAAACCCUGACCACCUUGGACGGUGGCAAGCCUCCCAAGAAGAAGCCUCCGCCGAUAAAGCCACCACCAAAGCACAAGCCUCCAACGGGUGUUGAGGACGCCCACAAGCCACCUGGUGGUGGUGGCCACAAGCCACCUGGUGGUGGUGGCCAUAGGCCACCACCUUUGAACUAAUCAUAAGUAGCCAAGUUCGUCUCAUGGCAUAUGCAGAACGUGGUGUACUAGAAUAAGAGCUUGGAUUCAAUCAGUUGGUCAUGCUUACUGCAAUUUCGUGAUAUCGAUAUCAUGUUGUCAUGUAAUUCGUAGUCAUGCGGUCUAGCCAGCUAGAUUUUGGGCAAGUUAAUGUGCAUGAGACGUGUAUCCAUCUUCUGAGCAUUGGAGACUUGAAUAUGAGUGGUUCGCUCUUUAUGUUAUUAACUUCUCCUUUCACAUAAUUGUAGGUGUUUCAUAGCAGUGAAAUGGGCACAUGCCAGUCAUUGAUAAUAACUUUCAUCUUAUCCUGAUGUGAUUAAAGGCUUACGACAAUGGUUGGCCGAGAAUGUCUAAAAGCAGUCCAUUCAAAUAUAUUCACUCCUCACUUUUCUCUUUAUGUUUACACCAAAAAUUAGCUAAGUCAUUGGCAUAAUACUAAUUCAGAUAAACAUAUAACUUGGACAAGGCGUGACCAUUUGUGAGACACCAACGCGUAAGCCUUUAUCGAUGGCCAUACCAAUCGCAAGAACUCCUGUCAAUGGCUAUGCUUAUCAAUGACUAUGAUCAAUUAUUGACAUAAGAUAGCUGUUGGUUGCUGAUUAGCUAAAGAUGCCGACGAACAUGCUAAAGUUCAUUGUUCAACGAGCUGAAGUGGAGGAUCAAGAUGUGAUGUUAAAGAAUAACCAUCCCGGGAUGAAAAUUUGUGGCAACGUGAAGGCUUGGAGCGAGAAAUUCCAGAGAUGUGAAAGCAUGGCUAGAACCGCUGAAGAUCUGCUUAUAGGCAGUAAUAAAUACCAGUGUUUGUGUACUAUAAGCCCUCCUCCCUGCACAAAAACGAACGAACUUUUUUACCUUUCAAUUGUAUUUAAACCUAUAUCAUAGUCUAGCUGUCGUUUCUGGAUAUCUCAUCGUUGAUUAAAUUCCGGCGUAUAUCAUAACUGUGUCAUUGAGUUUUAGCCACUGUAAUUCUAUUGCAGGAUAAAACGCUCAGCAAAAUUCUAUCCUCUUGCCAUUUACAAUAGCCAAGCAACUCUCUUAUACAGGAAAAAACUCAUUCACAUGGCGACAUAAAUGAUUCAACAACAUGCAAGGAUCGUCCCACGGAAGAAGUUUGAUUCUCCCAGGACUUCCGAAUUCUGCUUUAUGCCAGGGACCUAGUUUCCAUUUGAAUCGCAAGAAUAUUUAGCCCACAAAAACAAAAAGAUCAAUGCGAUAUUGCAUUUGUACGAGCGGCUUUCAGGAUCACCCUACAAUUACACAUGAAGGCAAUGAGACUACUGGCAUGACAUACAAACUUUGUUGAGCUUGCUUCAGGUGCAUUUUGAGUGCAUCGUUGUUUACCUAGCAGGCAUCAUCAGAUAAUACUGUAAGAACAAGAUUCUACAGAAGAGCAAGGGUUUAUGCCCGCAGACCCCUGACAACACGAUGGAUCUAAAAUAUCGAGCCAUCAGUAAUCAUUGAGGAAUCUGACAACGAGGUAGAUCCAGGAUGAGAGCAUCAAAUCCAUGUUCCAUCUCGCCAAGAAAAGAAGAAAGGGUGCACCAUAAGAUUGUGAUGAAGAGAGCCCCAAAGCAGGUAAUUCAUCCCAUCCAUGGGCUCUCACAUGCCACAACGCAAAUUGAAGAAGGUGGUCCCUUUGGGUUAAUUAGGUAUGAAGGUAUUCCUUCCUCCUCUAUAACCCAAUUUCUACUUUCUAAUGAUCCAAAUAUCUGAACUCGAUCAGUUUAACUUCCACAUCCCGGGAGCACGAACGGGAACAAAUGUGUAUAGGUUAAAAAUAAUUACAAGUAAGCAAUCUCUCUGAGUUUGAUUUAAAUGAGCUUGCUUUGCAGUUAAUCUGCCAAGUCUCCAAGUUUCACCUCGUGACUCGAGUUGAACCCAAAUUUAAGGCUCAUUCAAGCUUCCAGUGGCAGAAUCCAGAUUUCUUUAACUGCUCUCUCAAGAAGCUGGAAUGCAUCAUUACGAUGUAAAGAUCAUAUCAGCAAACAUAGUAGUUGCAUUGUCUAUCUGGGGAAUAAAACAAAUAAAAGUGUAAUGAAAUAUCAAAGCUAGAGCAAAUCCAAUUACACUCACCAAAAAGAAUACCCACGAGCAUGACUACCUACCACUCUCACAGUAAUAAAAUUUCUUAACUUCUAUAAGGUCCCCAUGCAUCACGAAUUAUCAACCCAAUUAAAGAGCAUGCCACUCGUGGAACGAUACCUUAUCAUACUAAUAUUUUCUAAACAGAAAAUAAUAUUAAUCUGCUCAACACACCUGAAGCUAUGAUCGAGACUCCCGGCUUAAAUAUCAUGUACCAAUAAUAAAUUAUGAAGGGGAAAACCAAUAAAAUCGACCAAAACACAGAAGUCGGGACCAGAUAUUAAAAGGCACGAACAAAGACACUUAUGGACGAAAGCAAGCAACCCCAUUUCAAACUAAAAAACAACAACUAUGAAUCUUUUGUUUUUUUUCCUUCACCUCGCAUUUUCACGUGACAUGGAUGGCCCCAAAACACUAGAUUACACAUUGGAUACGCAAUAUUUUUCUGUGGGUCAUCAGUGGACGGCUUUUACCGGGGCUCGAUGCGUUCGCGAUAAGCGUCGGCAGACACACACAUAACUACCACGGCCAUUGUCUCAUCGAAUAUUCGAGGGGUCGCCGUAUUUGGACAAACAUCAUAUGCUUCGCAUGACGAACUUUCCAGAGGCAAUCAUUGUUGCUGGCAAUCUGUGAUUCUCGAAAUCGCCAUUAGCCAUUGGGGGCAGUCGUUUUGUCUCUUUCUAGUGUCUUAUCCUUGCAAGUCCCUCCGCUCUGCUCGCCACGUACGUGGGAGAUUACACUCCACGAGCGUCGCAUCUACAGAACCGACAGUCCCUGCGACCAAGUGUUGCCGACCUCAUUUUUUUAAAGUUAUCUAGUGAGCUUCAAUAGUUAACCGUUAUCAAGAGCAUUACGUCGCUUGAGAAAUCUUCCGAAAUUCUGAGUGAGCGUAAGGCGUGACUCAUCGCUUGCAACAGUUGCUGUUUAAUCUUCGUGCUAAAGGUGAAAGGGUCGCUACUUUCCCGGUGAGUCUGCGUUGGCCAAUCUUGGCAAUCGGCAAGGCAGUUUUACGAUGCAUUCUGCCCGAGGAAGAGGAGACGCGCACAACGCCUGGGGUGCGCCGAGGGCAUCGGUGGUCCUCGCCAGUCGCUGCGGUGGCUUAGGGCUUGGUAGUUCAAUUCGAGGUUCAUGUAUUUCAUGCAUUUUGGGAUGAAAAAUGUCCUGUUGAGAGAGCGAAAAUCUAUUUCCUGCAAAAGUACGUAAGGAUUCCUUGCACGAGCCUCUAAGCUAAGUAUGGAAAAUGGGUAAAUCCUAGGAGUGAGUAUGAUCCUUGUUGAAUUGGUCCAACAUCUAACUUAGGGGUCAAUCCGCAUGGUAUUAAUUCUCAAUUUUUGAGAUAGAAGAUCAACCCUGUUGAACCUAAGAUCAAGAAAGUCUAAUCUAGUUAUAAAAAGACAAAAGUAUUAUUUUGAAUUAUAUAUCCAUUAACAAUACGACAUUAAACAAUCAACUACGAACACCAAUUCCUAUUAAACAUAAAUAUAAAAUAAAGUAACAAUAGAAAUUUACAAAUGAACAUGCAAAGUGAGGCAAGAAAGGCAAGCAGUGAGGCAAAUGAACAAAGGCAAGCAAGGAGAACAAAGAGAGGCGAGUGAUUAGCAAGCGAGCGAGACUAGGGCAAGCAACUGAGACUGAGGUGAGUGAAGGGGGUUUCUUUUUUUCUUUUUGAGUCAAAUUAAGGCUAUGUUUCUUUCAACUUUCUAAUGUACACGAUGAACUAAAAUGCGAAGAAAACAAAGGAGGAGGCCUUAGAAUUUAUAGUAAACAAAAGCAUAUAAUAGAUAAUAUAUUAAAUAUAUAAUAUUUGUUAUAUAUUAUGUACAAGAUUGGUCCAGAUUGGAUCAACUCUAAACUUUUAAGAUCGAGAAUGAACUCGCAUAGUAAAGGAUCUAGUGAUCUAAGAACUAGUGAUUGACCCACUCGCCUUAGGAGCUAGAUUAAGAUCAAUCAGGUUAACCUUAGACUAGUGCUUGCCCCUAGUUAAUUGUUAUUUAAUCCGAAUAAGAUGGCUCUUUGGCAAUUGUUAGAGAGAGAGGGAGAAUGAGAGGGUCGCGAUGUUCAUAGCCCACAAUACGGCCUUGCUCUUUUUGUUUUUCGUAAAUCCAGAGCAUGAGUAAGGUGUUUUUGGAGAAUAUAGGGUUGGGGAUGGGACCCACGAGUCCUUCUUUUGUCCUUUUCCAUGGCGGUUUGCAGGUAAUUCGCGAAUGCUCCUGAUUGCCGCUUCCUCUCAUUUCUAUUUUCAUUUUUUUAAAAUCUUCUUAACUAACAGGUUGAUUUAUUUUGGAGCUUAAAUUAUAUUUUAAACUCUUACAAAAGAAACAUAGGCAUUUUUUUAGCAAGUCCUAAUAUACGGGCCUCGGUUGUUAAUCAGUGGAUGUUUUUAGAUUUCAUAUUCUAGUUAAACUCAGUUGUUUUGCUCCAUAAACUUAUUUAUGACACUCAAAUCUAAAUCUUAAUAAAAUAUGUGCAUUAGGUGGAACAUUUAAUAAUAAUCUUAGAGAAACAAGUUAGUCAUAGAUAAGAGUUUAUAAACAAAAAAACAAAAAAAAACAACAUUAAUUGAGAUACAAACAAAGAGAACAAUAUAAUUAGUCGGUUGUAUUGCUCAGAAGUAUAGCUUUCUUCUCCAUCUUAUGUUUAUCUUGCUCUUCCUAAGUGUUGCAAUCUGGAAGUAUGAAACAGGAACAAGUAUGAGAAUCAUGAAAAUAGUUUCACGAUCAUUUCGUAAUUGCUAACUCAGACUUAUAUUGAUAGGGUGGUUUCUUUGGCAUCUUUAUAUUGUCUUUGUUACUCCAUCCAUUAGGAAUCUCUGCUUCCAUUUUUUAUACAUAGUUGGCCCUUCUAUGCAUUGCUCUCAUGAUGACAACAAAAGACUAAAGCCCCGAUCGAACAAGUUCGUCAAGACUAACUUUCAAAGGUGGGAUCACUUUUAUACCGCUGGCUAAUGAAUAACUUUCUUGAGAUCAAACAUAUCCGGUUUACAUUUCACACUACAUGAUAGAGAACAAGAGCAUGGUCCCACUUACUUACCUGCCCCAAUUGCAACUUCCCCCAAUCAACGUUAGCCUCGAUUGCGACUUCCCUAAUCAACACUAGCUAAGUCCAACUUUUCAUCUUAGUGCGUGGGACACCCUUCUCUUUUCUGUGUCCUCAUCUUGAAAUAAAUCGCAAUGCGAAUAAAAAUAUUUCAAAAGGAAAUCAAACGGUAGCGCUUGUCAAGACGAGAUAGGCCUAAUCCUUCUAUAAAUAACCUACCGACUCCACCUCUCACUAUGCAGAAACCUCAAAAAAUAUGUCUCCAAAAACCAUCUUUGUGCUUUUCCUGCUUACAGUGGUGCUCACCAGUGCCGCUCUCGCCGACCAUGGCAAACCUUACAAGAAACCACCGCCAAAAAAGAAACCUCCAACGGAAGAAACCACCACCCUUGAUGAGGAAACUCUGACCACCUUGGAUGGCAGCAAGAAGCCACCACCGAAAAAGAAACCUCCAACGGAAGAAGCUGGAAUGCAUCAUUACGAUGUAAAGAUCAUAUCAGCAAACAUAGUAGUUGCAUUGUCUAUCUGGGGAAUAAAACAAAUAAAAGUGUAAUGAAAUAUCAAAGCUAGAGCAAAUCCAGUUACACUCACCAAAAAGAAUACACACAAGCAUGACUAUCUACCAUUCUCUCCGUAAUAAAAUUUCUCGACUUCUAUAAGGUCCCCAUGCAUCACGAUCUAUCAACCCAAUUAAAGAGCAUGCCACUCGUCGAGCGAUAUCUAAUCAUCUUAAUAUUUUCUAAACAGAAAAUAAUAUUAAUCUGCUUAACAUACCUGAAGCUAUGAUCGAGACUCCUGGCUUAAAUAUCAUGUACCAAUAAUAAAAUAUGAAGGGGAAGACCAAUAAAAUCGACCAAAACACAGAAGUCGGGACCAUAUAUUAAAAGGCACGAACAAAGACGCUUAUGGACGAAAGCAAGCAACCCCAUUUCAAACUAAAGAGCAACACCUAUGAAUCUUUUGUUUUUUUUUUUCCUUCACCUCGCAUUCUCACGUGACAUGGAUGGCCCCAAAACAGUAGGAAUACACAUUGGAUACGCAAUAUUUUUCUGUGGGUCAUCAGUGGACGGCUUUUACUGGGGCUCUAUGCGUUCGCGAAAACCGUCGGCAGACACUAACAUAACUACCACGGCCAUUGUCUCAUCGAAAAUUCGAGGGGUCGCCGCAUUUGGACAAACAUCAUGUGCUUCGCAUGACGAACUUUGCAGAGGCAAUCAUUGUUGCUGCCAAUCUGUGAUUCUCGAAAUCGCCAUUAGCCAUUUACUCUCUUUCUAGUGUCUUAUCUUUGCAAGUCCCUCCGCUCUGCUCUCCACGUACGUGGGAGAUUACACUCCACGAGCGUCGCAUCUAGAGAGCCGACAGUCCCUGCGACCAAGUAUUGCCGACCUCAUUUUUUAAAGUUAUCUAGUGAGCUUCAAUAGUUAACCAUUAUCAAGAGCAUUAUGUCGCUUGAGAAAUCUUCCGAAAUGCUGAGUGAGCGUAAGGCGUGACUCAUCGCUUGCAACAGUUGCUGUUUAAUCUUCGUGCAAAAGGUGAAAGGGUCGCUACUUUCACGAUGAGUCUGCGUUGGCUAAUCUUGGCAAUCGGCAAGGCAGUUUUACGAUGCAUUCUGCCCGAGGGAGAGGAGACGCGCACAACGCUUGGGGUGUGCCGAGGGCAUAGGUCGUCCUCGCCAAUCGCCAUGGUGGCUUAGGGCUUGGUAGCUCAAUUCGAGGUCCCUCUAUUUCAUGCAUUUUGGGAUGAAAAAUGUCCUUGUUGAAAGAGCGAAAAUAGUUCUAUUUCCUGCAAAAGUAUGUAAAGAUUCGUUGCACGAGCCUCUAAGCUAAGUAUGGAAAAUGGGUAAGUCUUAGGGGUGAGUAUGAUCCAUGUUGAGCUGGUCCAAUAUCUAACUUAGGGGUCAAUCUGCACGGUAUUAGUUCUCAAUUUUUUAGACCAAAGAUUAACCCUAUUGAGCCCAAGACCAAGGAAGUCUAAUCCAAUUCCAGCGGACCAAUAAAUUAUUUUUUGUUUUACUUUUGGUAUUCCUUAAAAAGACAAACGUACUAUUUCAAAUUACAUAUCCAUUAACAAUGUGACAUUAAACAAUAAAACUACAAACACCAAUACCUAUAAAACAUAAAUAUAAGAUCAAGUAAGAAUAGAAAUUUACAAAUGAACAUGCAAAAUGAGGCAAGAAAGGCAAGCAGUCGGGCAAAUGAAGAAAGGCAAGCGAGGCGAGCAAAGAGAUGCGAGUGAUUAGCAAGCGAGCAAGACCAAGGCAAGCAACUAAGGCCGAGGUGAGUUAAGUGGGUUUCUUUUUUUCUUUUUUCUUUUUUCCUUUCUUUUAGGUCAAAUUAAGGUUAUGUUUUUUUCUACUUUCUAAUUUACACGACAAACUAAAAUGCAAAGAAAACAAAAGAGGAGGCCUUAGAAUUUAGAGUAAACAAAAGCAUAUAAUAUUUAAUAUAUAUUACAUAUUAUGAUUCGAGCUAUACUAACCCUAAACUUUUAAGAUCUAAGAUGAACUCCUAUAAUAGAGGAUCCGGUGAUAUGAAAACCAAUGAUCAACCCGCUCGCCUUAGGAGAUAGAUUAGGAUCAAUCGGAUUAUCCCUACACUGGUGCUUGCCCCUAGUUAAUCACUUGCUUUUCCUUCGGCAUGGAAAAAUUGUUAUUUAAUCCGAAUAAGAUGGCUAUUUGGCAAUUAGAGAGAGAGAAUGAGAGGGUUGCGAUGUUCAUAGCCCACAACACGGCCUUGCUCUUUUUGUUUUUCGUAAAUCCAGAGCAUGAGUAAGGUGUUUUUGGAGAAUAUAGGGUUGGGGAUGGGACCCACGAGUCCUUCGUUUGUCCUUUUCCAUGGCGGUUUGCAGGUAAUUCGCGAAUGCUCCUGAUUGCCGCUUCCUCUCAUUUUUAUUUUUCUUUUUCUAAAAUCUUCUUAACUAACAGGUUGAUUUAUUUUGGAGCUUAAAUUAUAUUUUAAACUCUUACAAAAGAAACAUAAGCAUUUUUUUAGCAAGUCCUAAUAUACGAGCCUCGGUUGUUAAUCAGUGGAAGUUUUUAAAUUUCAUAUUCUAGUUAAACUUAGUUGUUUUGCUCCAUAAACUUAUUUAUGACACUCAAAUCUAAAUCUUAACAAAAUAUGUGCAUCAGGUGGAACAUGUAAUAAUAAUCUUCGAGAAACAAGUUAGUCAUAGAUAAGAGUUUAUAAAAUAAAAUAAAAUAAAGCAACAUUAAUUGAGUUACAAAUAAAGAUAAUAAUAUAAUUAGUCGGUUGUACUGCUCAAAAGUAUAGCUUUCUUCUCCAUCUCACAUUUGCCUUGCUCUUCCUAAGUGUCACAUUCUGAAAGUGUGAAAUAGGAACGAGUAUGAGAAUGAUGAAAAUAGUUUCACAAUCAUCUCGUAACUGCUAACGUCAGACUUAUAUAGAUAGGGGUUUCUUUGGCAUCUUUAUAUUGUCUUUGUUACUCCAUUCAUUAGGAAUCUCUGCUUCCAUUUUUUAUACAUAGUUGGCCCUUCUAUGCAUUGCUCUCAUGAUGACAGCUAAAGACUAAAGCCCUGAUCGACCAAGUUCGUCGACACUAACUUUCAAAGGUGGGAUCACUUUUAUACCGCUGGCUAAUGCAUACCUUCCUUGAGAUCAAACAUAUCCAGUUUACAUUUCACACUACACGAGGGAGAUCAAGAGCACGGUCCAGCUUACUUACCUGCCCCAAUUGCAACUUCCCCAAUCAACAUUAACCCCAAUUACAACUUCCCUAAUCAACACUAGCUAAGUCCAACUUUUCAUCUCAGUGCGUGGGACACCCUUCUCUUUUCAGUGUCCUUAUCUUGAAAUAAACCGCUAUGUGAAUGAAAAUAUUUCAAAAGGAAAUCAAGCGGCACGUGUCAAGACGAGAUAGGCCCAAUCCUUCUAUAAAUAACCUACCGACUCCACUUCUCACCAUGCAGAAACCUCAGAAAAUAUGUCUCCAAAAACCAUCUUUGUGCUUUUCCUGCUUACAGUGGUGCUCACCACUGCCACUCUUGCCGACCAUGGCAAACCUCACAAGAAACCACCACCGAAAAAGAAACCUCCAACGGAAGAAACCACCGCCCUUGAUGAGGAAACUCUGACCACCUUGGAUGGUGGCAAGAAGCCACCACCGAAAAAGAAACCUCCAAUGGAAGAAACCAUCGCCCUUGAUGAGGAUGGUGGCAAGAAGAAACCACCGCCGAAAAAGAAACCUCCAACAAAAACCACCACCCUCGAUGAGGAAACCCUGACCACCUUGGAUGGUGGCAAGAAGCCACCACCGAAAAAGAAACCUCCAACGGAAGAAACCACCGCCCUUGAUGAGGAUGGUGGCAAGAAGAAACCACCACCCAAAAAGAAACCUCCAACAGAAGAAACCACCACCCUCAAUGAGGAAACCCUGACCACUUUGGAUGGUGGCAAGAAGCCACCACCAAAAAAGAAACCUCCAACGGAAGAAACCACCACCCUUGACGACGAAACUCUGGCCACCUCAAAUGGUGGUAGGCCUUUCAUGAAGAAGCCACCACCGAAAAAGAAACCUCCCACGGACUAAACCUUGGCCGCCAUGGACGGUGGGCAUUGAGGACUCUGACAAGCCACCAACUGUCAAACCACCUCACAACCCACCAGCUUCUAAC